rnacentral:rRNA from 1 species
UGCAGUCGACGCGANGGGGAGCAAUCCCUGAGUAGAGUGGCAAACGGGUGAGUAACACGUGGGUGACCUGCCUUCGAGUGGGGGAUAACGUCCCGAAAGGGACGCUAAUACCGCAUGAUAUCCUGCUCUUGGAUGAGUGGAGAUCAAAGCUGGGGAUCGCAAGACCUGGCGCUUGAAGAGGGGCCCGCGCCUGAUUAGCUAGUUGGUAGGGUAACGGCUUACCAAGGCAACGAUCAGUAUCCGGCCUGAGAGGGCGGACGGACACACUGGGACUGAGACACGGCCCAGACUCCUACGGGAGGCAGCAGUGGGGAAUUGUUCGCAAUGGGCGAAAGCCUGACGACGCAACGCCGCGUGGAGGACGAAGAUCUUCGGGUCGUAAACUCCUGUCGAGUGGGAAGAAUGGAUCGGGGAUGAAUAUGCCCCGGUAUUGACGGUACCACUAAAGGAAGCCCCGGCUAACUCCGUGCCAGCAGCCGCGGUAGUACGGGGGGGGCAAGCGUUGUUCGGAAUUACUGGGCGUAAAGGGCUCGUAGGCGGCCAACUAAGUCGGACGUGAAAUCCCCAGGCUCAACCUGGGAACUGCGUCCGAUACUGGAUGGCUUGAAUUCGGGAGAGGGAUGCAGAAUUCCAGGUGUAGCGGUGAAAUGCGUAGAUAUCUGGAGGAAUACCGGUGGCGAAGGCGGCAUCCUGGACCGACAUUGACGCUGANGAGCGAAAGCUAGGGGAGCAAACGGGAUUAGAUACCCCGGUAGUCCUAGCCCUAAACGAUGAAUGCUUGGNGUGGCGGGUAUCGAUCCCUGCCGUGCCGAAGCUAACGCAUUAAGCAUUCCGCCUGGGGAGUACGGUCGCAAGGCUGANCUCAAAGGAAUUGACGGA